UAAGCGGAGGAAAAGAAACUAACAAGGAUUCCCCUAGUAACUGCGAGUGAAGCGGGAAAAGCUCAAAUUUAAAAUCUGGUGGUCUUUGGCCAUCCGAGUUGUAAUUUAGAGAAGUGUCUUCCGCGCUGGACCGUGCACAAGUCUCCUGGAAUGGAGCGUCAUAGAGGGUGAGAAUCCCGUCNNGGCACGGACACACCAGGGCUUUUGUGAUACACUCUCGAAGAGUCGAGUUGUUUGGGAAUGCAGCUCAAAAUGGGUGGUGAACUCCAUCUAAAGCUAAAUAUUGGCGAGAGACCGAUAGCGAACAAGUACCGUGAGGGAAAGAUGAAAAGCACUUUGGAAAGAGGGUGAAACAGUACGUGAAAUUGUUGAAAGGGAAACGCUUGAAGUCAGUCACGUUAACCGAGACUCAGCCUUGCCUUGGCUUGGUGUACUUCUUGGCUAACGGGUCAGCAUCAAUUUUGCCCCUUGGAUAAUGGUAAGGGAAAUGUGACACCUUUAUGGUGUGUUAUAGUCUCUUGUCGCAUGCAAGGGUUGGGGUUGAGGAACUCAGUACGCACCUUUGGGUGUCGGGGCUUUGCCUACGAUACGUGCUUAGGAUGUUGGCAUAAUGGCUUUAAACGACC
rnacentral:rRNA from 1 species